rnacentral:rRNA from 1 species
AUUGAACGCUGGCGGCAUGCUUUACACAUGCAAGUCGAACGGUAACAGGCCGCAAGGUGCUGACGAGUGGCGAACGGGUGAGUAAUGCAUCGGAACGUGCCCAGUCGUGGGGGAUAACGCAGCGAAAGCUGUGCUAAUACCGCAUACGAUCUAUGGAUGAAAGCGGGGGACCGUACGGCCUCGCGCGAUUGGAGCGGCCGAUGUCAGAUUAGGUAGGUGGUGGGGUAAAGGCCUACCAAGCCGACGAUCUGUAGCUGGUCUGAGAGGACGACCAGCCACACUGGGACUGAGACACGGCCCAGACUCCUACGGGAGGCAGCAGUGGGGAAUUUUGGACAAUGGGCGCAAGCCUGAUUCAGCCAUGCCGCGUGCGGGAAGAAGGCCGUCGGGUUGUAAACCGCUUUUGUCAGGGAAGAAAAGGUUCUGGCUAAUACCUGGGACUCAUGACGGUACCUGAAGAAUAAGCACCGGCUAACUACGUGCCAGCCGCCGCAGUAAUAC